AGCAAAUGAUGAGCUUAUGAAACUGAAUUUCAUGUUGAAAUCAACAUCAUAUGGUCUUCAAAGUUCUCUGAUGCU
rfam:Eucalyptus grandis cultivar BRASTZ1 unplaced genomic scaffold scaffold_2, whole genome shotgun sequence.